rnacentral:rRNA from 1 species
UACGUAGGGUGCAAGCGUUAAUCGGAAUUACUGGGCGUAAAGGGCGCGCAGGCGGCUCUGAAAGUCAGAUGUGAAAGCCCCGGGCUUAACCUGGGAAUUGCAUUUGAUACUCUGGAGCUUGAGUACGGGAGAGGAGAGUGGAAUUCCCAGUGUAGAGGUGAAAUUCGUAGAUAUUGGGAAGAACACCGGUGGCGAAGGCGGCUCUCUGGACCGUAACUGACGCUGAGGCGCGAAAGCGUGGGAGGCAAC